CAUGCAAGUCGAGCGGAUGAAGGUAGCUUGCUACUGGAUUCAGCGGCGGACGGGUGAGUAAUGCUUAGGAAUCUGCCUAUUAGUGGGGGACAACGUUCCGAAAGGRGCGCUAAUACCGCAUACGUCCUACGGGAGAAAGCAGGGGACCUUUGGGCCUUGCGCUAAUAGAUGAGCCUAAGUCGGAUUAGCUAGUUGGUAGGGUAAAGGCCUACCAAGGCGACGAUCUGUAGCGGGUCUGAGAGGAUGAUCCGCCACACUGGGACUGAGACACGGCCCAGACUCCUACGGGAGGCAGCAGUGGGGAAUAUUGGACAAUGGGGGGAACCCUGAUCCAGCCAUGCCGCGUGUGUGAAGAAGGCCUUUUGGUUGUAAAGCACUUUAAGCGAGGAGGAGGCUACCUAGAUUAAUACUUUAGGAUAGUGGACGUUACUCGCAGAAUAAGCACCGGCUAA
rnacentral:rRNA from 1 species